rnacentral:rRNA from 1 species
GAAUUUUGGACAAUGGGCGAAAGCCUGAUCCAGCAAUGCCGCGUGCAGGAUGAAGGCCUUCGGGUUGUAAACUGCUUUUGUACGGAACAACAAGCUUUUGGUUAAUAACCGGGAGUCAUGACGGUACCGUACGAAUACGCACCGGCUACCUACCUCCCAGCCGCCGCGGUAAUACGUAGGGUGCCAGCGUUAAUCGGAAUUACUGGGCGUAAAGCGUGCGCAGGCGGUUUUGUAAGACAGAGGUGAAAUCCCCGGGCUCAACCUGGGAACUGCCUUUGUGACUGCAAGGCUAGAGUACGGCAGAGGGGAGUGGAAUUCCGCGUGUAGCAGUGAAAUGCGUAGAUAUGCGGAGGAACACCGAUGGCGAAGGCAACCCCCUGGGCCUGUACUGACGCUCAUGCACGAAAGCGUGGGGAGCAAACAGG